rnacentral:rRNA from 1 species
AAUAGUGAUAUGGAGCAAAACCCUAAAAGCAACCUCAGUUCGGAUUGAAGGCUGAAAUUCGCCUUCAUGAAGCUGGAAUUGCUAGUAAUGGCAGGUCAGCAUACUGCCGUGAAUACGUUCCCGGGCCUUGUACACACCGCCCGUCACACCAUGAGAGUUGGGAAUACCCGAAGCCUGUGAGCCAACUUAUAGAGGCAGCAGUCGAAGGUAGAAUCAAUGAUUGGGGUGAAGUCGUAACAAGGUAUC